AUGAACGCUAGCGGCAGGCUUAACACAUGCAAGUCGAGGGGCAGCGCGGGAUAGCAAUAUCCUGGCGGCGACCGGCGGAAGGGUGCGUAACGCGUGAGCGACAUGCCCGUUGCCCGGGGACAACCGGUGGAAACGCCGACUAAUCCCCGAUGGGAUAUUGUGCCGCAUGGCACGAUAUUGAAAGUUACGGCGGCGACGGAUUGGCUCGCGUCCGAUUAGCUUGUUGGCGGGGUAACGGCCCACCAAGGCUGCGAUCGGUAGGGGUUCUGCGAGGAAGGCCCCCCACAAUGGGACUGAGACACGGCCCAUACUCCUACGGGAGGCAGCAGUGAGGAAUAUUGGUCAAUGGGCGGAAGCCUGAACCAGCCAUGCCGCGUGCGGGAAGGAGGCCCUAUGGGCUGUGAACCGCUUUUGCCUGGGGGCAAUAAGGGCGUCGCGCACGUCCGAUGAGAGUACCAGGCGAAUAAGCAUCGGCUAACUCCGUG
rnacentral:rRNA from 1 species